GACGAACGCUGGCGGCGUGCUUAACACAUGCAAGUCGAACGAUGAAGAAGAGAAACGCGAACUUCGGUUCAAAUUUCACUUCGGAUUAGUGGCAGACGGGUGAGUAACGCGUGAGCAACCUACCUCUUACAAAGGGAUAGCCUCGGGAAACCGUGAUUAAUACCAUAUGACACAUUCAUAAGGCAUCUUAAGAAUGUUAAAGCUGCGGCGGUAAGAGAUGGGCUCGCGUCCCAUUAGCUAGUUGGUGAGGUAACGGCCCACCAAGGCGACGAUGGGUAACCGGCCUGAGAGGGUGAACGGUCACAUUGGAACUGAGACACGGUCCAAACUCCUACGGGAGGCAGCAGUGGGGAAUAUUGCACAAUGGAGGGAACUCUGAUGCAGCGACGCCGCGUGAGCGAUGAAGGAAUUCGUGUCGUAAAGCUCUGUUCUAUGGGAAGAAAAGGACUGUACCAUAGGAGAAAGCCCCGGCUAAAUACGUG
rnacentral:rRNA from 1 species